AACGAACGCUGGCGGCAGGCUUAACACAUGCAAGUCGAACGCCCCGCACGGGGAGUGGCAGACGGGUGAGUAACGCGUGGGAACGUGCCCUUCGCUUCGGAAUAGCCCCGGGAAACUGGGAGUAAUACCGAAUACGCCGUUUUGGGAAAGAUUUAUCGGCGAAGGAUCGGCCCGCGUUAGAUUAGCUAGUUGGCGGUGUAAUGGACCACCAAGGCUACGAUCCAUAGCUGGUCUGAGAGGAUGAUCAGCCACACUGGGACUGAGACACGGCCCAGACUCCUACGGGAGGCAGCAGUGGGGAAUCUUGGACAAUGGGCGCAAGCCUGAUCCAGCCAUGCCGCGUGAGUGAAGAAGGCCUUAGGGUUGUAAAACUCUUUCGCCGGAGAAGAUAAUGACGGUAUCCGGAGAAGAAGCCCCGGCUAACUUCGUGCCAGCCGCCGCAGUAAUAC
rnacentral:rRNA from 1 species